AGCGUAAUAGCUCACUGGUCGAGUCGGCCUGCGCGGAAGAUGUAACGGGGCUAAACCAUGCACCGAAGCUGCGGCAGCGACGCUGAUGCGUUGUUGGGUAGGGGAGCGUUCUGUAAGCCUGCGAAGGUGGCCUGUGAGGGUUGCUGGAGGUAUCAGAAGUGCGAAUGCUGACAUAAGUAACGAUAAAGCGGGUGAAAAGCCCGCUCGCCGGAAGACCAAGGGUUCCUGUCCAACGUUAAUCGGGGCAGGGUGAGUCGACCCCUAAGGCGAGGCCGAAAGGCGUAGUCGAUGGGAAACGGGUUAAUAUUCCCGUACUUGGUGUUACUGCGAAGGGGGGACGGAGAAGGCUAUGUUGGCCGGGCGACGGUUGUCCCGGUUUAAGCGUGUAGGUGUGUGUUCCAGGUAAAUCCGGUUCACUUUAACACUGAGGCGUGAUGACGAGGCACUACGGUGCUGAAGCAACAAAUGCCCUGCUUCCAGGAAAAGCCUCUAAGCAUCAGGUAACAUCAAAUCGUACCCCAAACCGACACAGGUGGUCAGGUAGAGAAUACCAAGGCGCUUGAGAGAACUCGGGUGAAGGAACUAGGCAAAAUGGUGCCGUAACUUCGGGAGAAGGCACGCUGACACGUAGGUGAAGUGAUUUACUCAUGGAGCUGAAGUCAGUCGAAGAUACCAGCUGGCUGCAACUGUUUAUUAAAAACACAGCACUGUGCAAACACGAAAGUGGACGUAUACGGUGUGACGCCUGCCCGGUGCCGGAAGGUUAAUUGAUGGGGUCAGCGCAAGCGAAGCUCCUGAUCGAAGCCCCGGUAAACGGCGGCCGUAACUAUAACGGUCCUAAGGUAGCGAAAUUCCUUGUCGGGUAAGUUCCGACCUGCACGAAUGGCGUAAUGAUGGCCAGGCUGUCUCCACCCGAGACUCAGUGAAAUUGAACUCGCUGUGAAGAUGCAGUGUACCCGCGGCAAGACGGAAAGACCCCGUGAACCUUUACUAUAGCUUGACACUGAACAUUGAGCCUUGAUGUGUAGGAUAGGUGGGAGGCUUUGAAGUGUGGACGCCAGUCUGCAUGGAGCCGACCUUGAAAUACCACCCUUUAAUGUUUGAUGUUCUAACGUGGACCCGUGAUCCGGGUUGCGGACAGUGUCUGGUGGGUAGUUUGACUGGGGCGGUCUCCUCCUAAAGAGUAACGGAGGAGCACGAAGGUUGGCUAAUCCUGGUCGGACAUCAGGAGGUUAGUGCAAUGGCAUAAGCCAGCUUGACUGCGAGCGUGACGGCGCGAGCAGGUGCGAAAGCAGGUCAUAGUGAUCCGGUGGUUCUGAAUGGAAGGGCCAUCGCUCAACGGAUAAAAGGUACUCCGGGGAUAACAGGCUGAUACCGCCCAAGAGUUCAUAUCGACGGCGGUGUUUGGCACCUCGAUGUCGGCUCAUCACAUCCUGGGGCUGAAGUAGGUCCCAAGGGUAUGGCUGUUCGCCAUUUAAAGUGGUACGCGAGCUGGGUUUAGAACGUCGUGAGACAGUUCGGUCCCUAUCUGCCGUGGGCGCUGGAGAACUGAGGGGGGCUGCUCCUAGUACGAGAGGACCGGAGUGGACGCAUCACUGGUGUUCGGGUUGUCAUGCCAAUGGCACUGCCCGGUAGCUAAAUGCGGAAGAGAUAAGUGCUGAAAGCAUCUAAGCACGAAACUUGCCCCGAGAUGAGUUCUCCCUGAGACUUUAGGUCUCCUGAAGGAACGUUGAAGACGACGACGUUGAUAGGCCGGGUGUGUAAGCGCAGCGAUGCGUUGAGCUAACCGGUACUAAUGAACCGUGAGGCUUAACCUUACA
rnacentral:rRNA from 1 species